rnacentral:rRNA from 1 species
UAAAACGUCGUGAGACAGUUUGGUCCCUAUCUUCCGUGGGCGCUGCAAGAUUGAGAGAGCCUGCUCCUAGUACGAGAGGACCGGAGUGGACGCACCUCUGGUGUAUCGGUUGUCACGCCAGUGGCAUCGCCGAGUAGCUAAGUGCGGAAGAGAUAACCGCUGAAAGCAUCUAAGCGGGAAACUCGUCUCAAGAUGAGUCUUGCCGGGGCCUUGAGCCCCCUGAAGGGUCGUUCGAGACCAGGACGUUGAUAGGUCGGGUGUGGAAGCGCAGUAAUGCGUUAAGCUAACCGAUACUAAUUGCCCGUGAGGCUUGACCCUAUAA